rnacentral:lncRNA from 1 species
UUUAACCCUCUUAUACUCCAAUUACAUUCACAUGCCAUGCAUAUUCAUACAACAUCCUCCAAUAUCAAGUUUGGAUUCAUUUAUCCUUCCAACCAAUCCAUUAAACCAAAUUGAGCCAUAGACAUAAAUAAUCAUCAAUUCAAUAGUAUAUCACCAUAUCCACCUUCCAUAACUCAAUUACCAUAUCCACUUUCCACAAUUCAAUACAACCAAAUUAUGCAAAAUAGUCCAUAACCCUAUUUCCAUCAC